GGAGGUAGCUCAGUGGCUAGAGCGCAGGACUGGCAGUCCUGAGGGAAAGGGUUCGACCCUUGGUACCACCU
rnacentral:tRNA from 1 species